rnacentral:rRNA from 1 species
GAUGAACGCUGGCGGCGUGCCUAAUACAUGCCAGUCGAGCGAACAGACGAGGAGCUUGCUUCUCUGACGUUAGCGGCGGACGGGUGAGUAACACGUGGAUAACCUACCUAUAAGACUGGGAUAACUUCGGGAAACCGGAGCUAAUACCGGAUAAUAUAUUGAACCGCAUGGUUCAAUAGUGAAAGACGGUUUUGCUGUCACUUAUAGAUGGAUCCGCGCCGCAUUAGCUAGUUGGUAAGGUAACGGCUUACCAAGGCAACGAUGCGUAGCCGACCUGAGAGGGUGAUCGGCCACACUGGAACUGAGACACGGUCCAGACUCCUACGGGAGGCAGCAGUAGGGAAUCUUCCGCAAUGGGCGAAAGCCUGACGGAGCAACGCCGCGUGAGUGAUGAAGGUCUUCGGAUCGUAAAACUCUGUUAUUAGGGAAGAACAAAUGUGUAAGUAACUAUGCACGUCUUGACGGUACCUAAUCAGAAAGCCACGGCUAACUACGUG